rnacentral:rRNA from 1 species
UUUAAACUUGAGAGUUUGAUCAUGGCUCAGAACGUACGCUGGCGGCACGCCUAACACAUGCAAGUCGAACGAAGUAGCAAUACUUAGUGGCAGACGGGUGAGUAACAUGUAGGUAUCUGCCCUUUGGCCUGGAAUAACACGAGGAAACUUGUGCUAAUACCGGAUAAGUCUUUACGGAGAAAGCUUUAUGCACCAUUGGAUGAGCCUGCACUUGAUUAGUUUGUUGGUGGGGUAAUGGCCUACCAAGACAAUGAUCAAUAGCUGAUUUGAGAGGAUGAUCAGCCACAUUGG